AAAAACAUUUCUUAUAGAUUGAUGGUUAUAAGUAAAAUCUGCUCAAUGAUGCUUAUUAAAUAGCCGCAGAUCCCUGUGCUAAGGUAGCAUAAUCACUUGUUUUUUAAUUGAAAACUAGAAUGAAAGAUUUAAUAUCUGUAUUCCUUUAUUCCUUUAAGCUCCUAAAAUUUUGUUAAAUGUAAGAAUUCAUUUAUGCUUUAAAAAGACGACAAGACCCUAUCGAACUUUACUUCUGUUUUGCUGGGGCAGCAAAUUAAUUAUACUUUUAAUUUUUGUUCAUCCUCGUUACCAAAAAGACCCAUUACUCAAUGACCAAAUGAAUAACGUUACCGUAGGGAUAACAGCGUGAUCCAUAUUUAUAGCUCUUAUAGAAAUAAGGGAUUGCGACCUCGAUGUUGAAUUAAUAUUUCUUUUAUAGGCAGCAUUAUACAAAGUGGGUCUGUUCGACCCUUAAUAUAUUACGUGAUCUGAGUUCAGACCGG
rnacentral:rRNA from 1 species